AACAUUUCAGACAGUGUGACUGAAUGAGGAAUUCUAGAUAGUUCUGUGAAGACUGGGGGAAGAAGAAAAGAGGAUGCCAGUCCUUGUUCCUAGGCCAAGACCUGAGCCCUGUAAUAUUAAUAUUUGGAUCUAAAAUCAGGUAAACAGGGGUGUGUAAGGAAAAGUCAUAAACAGUGUCAUGUGAAGGAGAGAGCUUGGGAUUUGAAAUCAGAAAGACUUGGGGAAUUAAGUUGUGUAAACCUGGGCAAACUACUGUCUCUUCGUGUGUGAAAUGAAGACAACCUCUGAGAAUGUUUUUGAUCUUUAAAGGGGGUAGCGAUAGGAGAUCUGCAUGUGGGGUGGGGGGUAAAAUCUGGCACACAGAAGGAACUGGCCCAGUAUAUGCCA
rnacentral:lncRNA from 10 species